GGAUCCCAGGGUCAGUGUACUCAGGUACGCGUUGAGUUCCUGGAUGAGUCCCACCGUUCUAUUAUCCGCAAUGUGAAGGGUCCCGUACGUGAAGGCGACAUCCUCACACUGUUGGAGUCUGAGCGUGAAGCCAGGAGAUUAAGAUAAUGCGGCAAAAGGCUCUGUUCUUCCUUAAACUUGAAAUAAAAAGUUAAGGAAAA